GGAUCAGAUUGUUGGUCGUGCCUCGGUACGUACUGGCAUUAUUGGUUCCUAUCUUCUGAAGAACCGCGAUGUCAUUAAUUUGGUGUCGUGGAGAAUCAGGACUGUUACUUUGAAAAAAUUAGAGUGUUUAAAGCAAGCUAACGCUUGAAUACAUUAGCAUGGAAUAAUGAAAUAGGACGUUUGACCCUAUUUUGUUGGUUUCUAGGAUCGACGUA
rnacentral:rRNA from 1 species